CCCGGCGAGCAGUCGCUGGCCAGGCGAGUGAACCCCACGAUAUCAGCGUACAGGAUGCUGCAACAGAAAUGAACAGGACGGAGCUUGGUCAGUCGCCUUCUGCAGAACUCAGGGGUGUAACUGGAAGGGAAGAAAGAAAAGCCGAAUGUUAUUCUCCAGAUGCUGCACCCUGAGCCAAGCGGAUCCAGCCAAAAGAGAGACACUGAAAGGUGCAGCGGCAGGAACCUUUCAGAAGACAAGAUGGACCAAGCACGGAGAGAACAUGAAGCAGCAGGUUACUAAUUUGCUGCAGUGCAACUGACUUCUGCAGAGUAGACUGUCAACCAGGCGUGAAGGUGAGGGAAGUAUUUCCUAGAGGCCCAGAAGAGACUUGCUGAGGUUGUUUCAAAGCUGGAAGCCACUAGCAGCUUUUGAACUAGAAGCGCCUUCUAGAAGGAGGCUGGUGGAAACUCUGCAAGGACUCAACAAGAGAUUUAUUUUCAAGUCUUGGUAUUUCCUCUGUUUCAUCAGCAAUUCUGAGUUUUCCUUGGUUGUGCUGUAAAUAAAACCAAAUUUUUUCUGGCAGCUAUUCUACCCAAGGACCUGUAUGAGUCAUGCUCCGUCAUACCAAGUGUGGUUUAAAGUUUGAAUGAACUCUCCCAACGAUCCUGCAAAGCUAAGCCUUUGCAGCUAUGCCUACUCCUGUAUGGAUUGCAGCCCACGCCAUGAGCAAAUUCUGGAAGUUAUUUGGGGGCAUAAGGUUGCUUGCUAUCUGGUUGAGAGAAACCAGUUGCAGAAGCUCAUCCCUUAGCUCAUAACAACUGCUGUUCGAAGAACGACACUGCACAUACACAAGGCAAUUCUUACUCAACGCCUAACAGAUAAAGCUCUGUACCUUAUCUGUCUGGUGUGCUAUCAGUUCCUCUGCCAUCCUCCUGCAUCCUUUUUCCUUGGGUAGUCUCCAAAGUAGCGUGGCACUUUGGUCUGAGGCUGUGUGCUGAAAUACUGAGAGCUGUUGCAGUACAACCAGUCCAUCUUCCUUUGGCAAGCCUACAUCCCUUCCAGCAGGGCAAAAUUCAUCGGAUUCAGAACAGUAGUGGCCACCCAGACCAGUCACCUCACAUCUUCCAGCAUAACUUCUUCAAAGUUUGUUUUUCUCUUAACAUCAAGGGGAAGGUGACAUUUUGACAACAACUUCCUCUGCUGGUUUCAGCUAACUUUCCUCAUCUAUAGAUUCACAUUUGCAUUCUUCAUGUGCUUGUUUCUGGUAUCUAACAGCAGCACAUCGAAAGGACGACUCCCCAGAUGUACUUUUUCCGUUCAAGUGGUACAGAAAUCCAACAGCAUAUGCAAUAUGGUAUUUUAAUUGUUUCAGCUUCCAGUGCAGAAGAACAGAGUAAACAGAAAGGAACAAAAUGCGGCCCAGGAGGAACUGGAAGACCAUCAGUAAAUAAUAUUUCCUCGGUGCGAUACAGGAAACAGCAAGGAAAAAUGGAUGUGCCAGCUGGCCAGAUUUAAAAUACCUUAAAUUACCUAAAUCUGAUGGUUUUGCCUUUUUUAAAAAAUGGUCAACAAGAAAGCAUGGGGCUACAUGAAAACCUGGGGCCCAAGCUACACGGCAAGAUGUAGCAGUAAACAGAGUUGUUAUUUUCAAACACGAGCCAGAAACAUUUUUAUGAAGAAGCAAGGAAAAUGCCUGCUGUGAAUUUUACAGUAACAAUUGGCCCUACCCUCAAUGUCAUUUCAUAAACAAAUAUAUCUGGCUACAGUAAAGCGAGAAAAAAACCAGCAAACCUGCACCUUAUGAAUUCCAGUAAAAUUACUCUUUCAGCAUUCUUUUCAUCUUCUAGAAAUAUACAUAAACUACCAUCUGUAUACUUGCAUACUCAGGCUUUAUUUUAUACAUGAAUAGAGAUCUAAAAAUAUCUCACAAAACAAAUCAAAUUUAUUUACAGAUUUACUUUUGGUAACAUAAAGCUCACUGUAAAAGCUGACAGAUCUCCAUGCUGUGGUGUACUAUGCAACACUAAAGCACUUCUGUGAAUAACAGUGAAGAUUAGUGGAACACACUCCAACAACAAAUUACUGUUUCUGGGACUUGUACAUAUUUUAUGGUUGAUAAGAACCUUUCACUCAAAUCUUUACUUUUUGGAGUAUUGCAGAAAGCUACUUUAAAAAUAAUCCAAGCAUAGAAGAAAAUUAAGGGGACAUAAGAGGGAUUUAAAAAAAAAAAAAAAAUCUAAAUGAGGAAAACUAAUCAAAUUAAAAAUAGUUGAUCAUGCAGACAUUUGUCCUGUCCCAUGACCGCUUACUUUCUUCGAGACCCCUCUGUGAGGGAUCUUCGCCUUCCAGAAAUCCAGGCAGGCCAUAUCAAGUGGAUCAUUCUCACCCACAGGAUGGCUGAAACCUUCAGAGAAUUCUUAGUUUUUUCUCUACAAAAGCCGUCUUGACUUUUCCUCCAUACCUCACCCUCACCCACAUGUGCAGUGAUCUUAUAUUCUACUUCCACUAAUGUGCCCAAAACAGACACGGGGAUUCCAAGGCGGCAGUCUUCUGGUCUGCCCGGGAGCUCUGCCAAAACUGGCCUCGCAGUCGCCUCCCUCCUGUCCUGCAGCACCAGCACAACCCUUGGGGAGAUUCCACCUAAGCGACAGCAGCAGCAUUUCACCUGUUUCAUUCCCGAGUUUCUCUAAAUCUCUCUGCUGAACACACAGAUACCAGGAUUUAUUACGACUUCUUUUAUUUAGUCUACCUGUUCCUUGACCUCUCCUCCUCACACUUCACCUCAAGAUAAAUGCUGUAAUGAGUCUUUCAUAAAUGUGGGAAAACCCUUUCUUCCACAAUGAAUGCAGAAACAUAAAAUAAAUUAUUUACUAGAUUUACUAUGGGGAGUCACAUGGCAUAGUUCCUGAAUAUGAACUUACUCUGAAAAGGCAAAUCAGUUCAUUUCUGUACAGUUAAAAAAGUAUUUCAUGCUUUGUUCUAAUCAGCUAUAAUAACAUUUCUUUUUUCAAUGAUAAUUUGCCAAAAAGAUAAAAAGUAUCUUUUUAAUUUUUCAAAUUUCUCAGCAUCCCCUUUCAUAUAAGCAAAAUUUCAAAUGUUUUUGCAGUUAUUUAAAAUUACUCUAUUACCAUUUUGCAUUCACAAUAACAAGAUAACAAACAUUAAAAAUUUAUUAAAUUAAAUGAC